UAAGGAAUAUUGGUCAAUGGAGGCAACUCUGAACCAGCCAUGCCGCGUGCAGGAAGACGGCCCUCUGGGUUGUAAACUGCUUUUAUUCGGGAAUAAACCUGCUUACGUGUAAGUAGCUGAAUGUACCGAAGGAAUAAGGAUCGGCUAACUCCGUGCCAGCAGCCGCGGUAAUACGGAGGAUCCAAGCGUUAUACGGAUUUAUUGGGUGUAAAGGGUGCGUAGGCGGCUUAUUAAGUCAGGGGUGAAAGACAGUGGCUCAACCAUCGCAGUGCCCUUGAUACUGAUGAGCUUGAAUGGACUAGAGGUAGGCGGAAUGUGACAAGUAGCGGUGAAAUGCAUAGAUAUGUUAUAGAACACCGAUUGCGAAGGCAGCUGACUAAGCAUAUAUUGACGCUGAGGCACGAAAGCGUGGGUAGCGAACA
rnacentral:rRNA from 1 species